GGACUACUAGGGUAUCUAAUCCUGUUUGCUCCCCUUGCUUUCGCGCCUCAGCGUCAGUGUCAGCCUAGAAAACCGUCUUCACCACCGGUGUUCUUCCACAUAUCUACGCAUUUCACCGCUACACGUGGAAUUCCGUUUUCCCUAACUGAACUCUAGUCAGAGAGUUUCAAAUGCAGCUCCGGGGUUGAGCCCCGGAAUUUCACAUCUGACUUUCCUAACCGCCUACGCGCCCUUUACGCCCAGUAAUUCCGAUCAAUGCUUGCACCCUCCGUAUUACCGCGGCUGCUGGCAC
rnacentral:rRNA from 1 species